GAACUAUACUAAUGGAACACCAGCUUCGAGAUUUUAUGAUCAGAGUGCCGUCGCGCAUCUUUUUUCGCGCACCAUACCAAUUUGAAAAAUCGAUGAGGAUGCCAAAGAAGAAAUUUACUCAGAGAGCCACUUGGAUUGACCUUCAUUGAGAGUAAAACUUCCCCACACUAUAUUUUAUUAGAUCUGUAAAAACUUUAUCCAUUUUCUGACUAUCUGAUAAAAUAGAUACAAUUUCCCUGAAUAAUGGAUCGUCACAAAAGAUUUUUUUUUUAAGGCCACUUCGUUAAAAUAGGUGUUUCCAGUACUUCCUCAUUUGGGUAUUUUACACAAAAUCUGGAAUUUUUUUUAUGUACAUGUCAUUUUUAUCAUCUGUCCCGCGCAACCAAACCAUCCACUUUUCCCGGUCACCAAUGUUCUUAACAAGAUAUCAAGAGAUUGAGGCUGGUCCAUUAUUUGCGUAGUCCAGCCAGCUUUUUUUUUUGACAACCUUUUUUCGUUCUCUCUCAUGAAGGAUAUGUUUGAAAAUUAGUCUUACAAAAUACAAUUCCAAACCAACUCAUGCAGUUAUCGUCUUUUCACAGUAUUGAGGAGUCAUCCUUUUUGCUAGCCAGAGUGUUAAUUGGCAAAAGGGAAAAAUUCAUUUUGUUUAAUUUUUUAAAACAUCACAUUCACACGAUUAUUGAUACAGCUGAGACAGUGAAUGAAACGAAUGCAGUGGUUAUACUGAUUAUACUUAAAGUGACGAUACUACUUAUAGAUCUACCAGUUGAUAAACAUCAUCAUCAUAGAUAAUAAUCUACAUCUAUAAUCAUAGUGCCCUUUAUUUAGUCAAUAUAGUCAAGUCAAGAUAGUGGAAUGUAAACUCGAAGGUUUAAUACAAUACGUUAUUAACAAGUAGAACCAUGGCAACCAGUUCUGAUGAUGUACCAGAAUGGCUCAAGGAUCAUACUUAUACUAUUUCUACUCUCUGGGCAUCCAUUCAAUAUUUAAUUUAUGUUUGGAAAUGCAAGAAAAAGGCAUGCAUUCCUGAAAAGUCAAUGAUUGGUUGCACCUCUUAUAGAUAACUUUCUGUUAUGAGAAAAGAUGAGAUUCUUGGACUCCUGCUUAGCACCACCAGAAAGGAAAAUCCCAUCAUGUUGCAAAAUAAAAGUCUUGGACCAAUUUUAAUUUAAGAUAUAUAUAUUAUACUGUAAGCUGUAUACAUAUU